AGAUUGAACGCUGGCGGCAGGCCUAACACAUGCAAGUCGAGCGGCAGCACGGGUACUUGUACCUGGUGGCGAGCGGCGGACGGGUGAGUAAUGCCUAGGAAUCUGCCUGGUAGUGGGGGAUAACGCUCGGAAACGGACGCUAAUACCGCAUACGUCCUACGGGAGAAAGCAGGGGACCUUCGGGCCUUGCGCUAUCAGAUGAGCCUAGGUCGGAUUAGCUAGUUGGUGAGGUAAUGGCUCACCAAGGCGACGAUCCGUAACUGGUCUGAGAGGAUGAUCAGUCACACUGGAACUGAGACACGGUCCAGACUCCUACGGGAGGCAGCAGUGGGAAUAUUGGACAAUGGGCGAAAGCCUGAUCCAGCCAUGCCGCGUGUGUGAAUAAGGUCUUCGGAUUGUAAAAGCUACUUUAAGUUGGGAGAAGGCAGUAAAUUAAUACUUUGCUGUUUGACGUUACGACAGAAUAAGCACCGCUAACUCUGUG
rnacentral:rRNA from 1 species